GCAAAUCAAUAUAAAUUGAUUAAUAUUUAUUUAUUAAUUUAAUUUUUAUUUAUUUAUAAUUUAUUAAAAAUAAUUAUAUAAUUUAAUGUUUUAGUAAUUUUUAAUGAAAAAAUAAUUAUAAUAAUAGUUUAAAUGUAUUGUGAAAGAUUAUUGAAAAAUUUUGAAAAAUUUUUAUUAAUAAAGAAAAUUUUAUUUAUUGUACCUUGUGUAUCAGGGUUUAUUAAAUAAUUAAUAAUUAUUUAUUAAUCUCGAUUUUAUAAGAUUUAAUAAUUUAUGAAAGUUAAUGUGUUAAAAUUAUUUUAAAUAAAUUAUUAGAAAUGAAAUGUUAUUCGUUUAUAAAGGUAUCUAGUUUUUUUAGAAAUAAAUUUAAUUUACAAAUUUUUAAUUUUUAAUUUAUUUAUUUAAUUUAAAAAUUUAUUAAUUUGAAUAUUUUAAGGGAUAAGCUUUAAAAUAAAUUUUUAAAAAGUUAAUAAUUAUUUAUAUAAAAUGUAUGUUUAUAAUUGGCAAUCAUUGUUAAGUUUGUUAUAAAUUAUUUUAUAAUUUAUAUUAUUUAUUUAUAUUUUAAUUUUUUUUUAUAAAAAUGUUUACAUUAAUAUUUUAUGUAAAGUAAUAAUGAUAAAAUUAGUAUAUGUGUAUUGUUUAAGUAUUUUUAUAUGAUAAGUUUAUUUAAAGAAUUCGGCAAAUAUAUUUAUACUCGCCUGUUUAACAAAAACAUGUCUUUUUGAGUUAUUUUUAAAGUCUAGCCUGCCCAGUGAAUUAUUUUAACGGCCGCAGUAUAUUAACUGUGCAAAGGUAGCAUAACAUUAGUCUUUUAAUUGAAGGCUGGAAUGAACGGUUGGACGAAGUAUAAACUGUUUCAUAUAAAUUUAUAAUAGAAUUUUAUAUUUUAGUUAAAAAGCUAAAAUAUUUUUAAAAGACGAGAAGACCCUAUAAAUCUUUAUAUUAAUUGUUAUUUAAAUUUUUUAGAUGUAUUUUAUUUUUAUAAUAAUAAAUAUUUUGUUGGGGUGAUGUUAAAAUUUAAUAAACUUUUAAUUUAUUAAAUUCAUUAAUUUAUGAUUUUUUGAUCCAUUAAUAAUGAUUAUAAGAUUAAGUUACUUUAGGGAUAACAGAGUAAUUUUUUUUGAGAGUUCUUAUCGAUAAAAAAGUUUGCGACCUCGAUGUUGGAUUAAGAGAUAUUUUUAGGUGUAGAAGCUUAAAUGUUAAGUCUGUUCGACUUU
rnacentral:rRNA from 1 species